rnacentral:lncRNA from 1 species
AAUUAUCGAAAAUAUUGAAUAGAACUUACCUGGAUGCGAUCUAGGCCCAAUCGAUGUUCUCUGAACUACGUCUUGAUCUACUUCAGGGGUCUUGUCAGGUGCAUGUUUGUUUGUUGGUUUCUUGAAGUAGAUGGUUUCUUGGAGUUUCUCUUGGGUAGCUUGAUCAGUAUCUUGAAGCUCUUCCAAGUCCUUGAUAUCUUGUUCUUGAUCUUCACUCUCUCGAUCACUCUCGAAGGUGAAGCUUGUUUUGCUCGUCUCUUGUGACUCCAUUGUCUUCUCUUGGAUUCUAGAGGUUUCUUGACCUGUCAAAGGAGAAUUCAUACCUGGGGAAAUGGUAUGUUCAAGACUCAUUUGGGUGAAUGCUUCAGCAAGCUCUUCCUCAGCGAUGGGAUCAUAUCCGUCAUGAUGGAGUAACGGUGGUACAGACCAGUUGACGUAGUUCAGCUCUAGUGAGCUCACAAUGUCUUGUACAGCUAGAUUGAACCUCUUUCUAAGUUGUUUAGACUUUGAACGAGUCAUGGGACCUACUGGGACGACUGGUACAGGGUGUGGUACAGGAUCUGGUACUUGAUCUAGUUCAGCGGAUUGGACAGGAUAACCGAUGUCCGCAUCAUUCCCUCCCUCUUCAAAAGGUUUUGCCCUCAAAACUGAAUCUCCUGAAUCAUAAGCAGACAAGUCAGCAACAUUAAAAGUAUGAGAAAUUUUUACCUCAUUAGGUAGCUCCAAACGGUAAGCAUUGUCAUUGAUCUUCUCGAGGAUCUUGAAUGGUCCGUCGCCUCUUGGUGAUAGCUUGGAUNNNNNNNNNNNNNNNNNNNNNNNNNNNNNNNNNNNNNNNNNNNNNNNNNNNNNNNNNNNNNNNNNNNNNNNNNNNNNNNNNNNNNNNNNNNNNNNNNNNNAAAUAACACUUCUUUUCUUCCUCGAUCAGCUUUGCGUUUGUUGUCGACGGCCUUCUUCUCCAAGUUGUCUUUUGCUUUUUCAUGCAACUUCUUUAUGACUUCUCCUCGUUUUAACCCAACUUGACAAGCCUGUUCUAUCUGAGGUAAAGGUGCUAAAUCUAUGGGAGAUAAAGGGUUAGUUCCAUAGACUAUCUCGAAGGGAGAUAGUUUUGUAGCCGAGUGAACGACACGAUUAUAAGCAAACUCAAUAAAAGGAAUGCAAUCAAGCCAUGUAGCCAUAUUCCUACCAAGAGUGGCCCUAAGUAAAGUUGAGAGAGUUCGGUUUACCACUUCGAUUUGUCCAUCCAUUUGAGGAUGACAAGUUGUAGAGAAUAAAAGCUUGGUACCUAACUUUCUCCAAAGUGUCUUCCAAAAGUGACUCAAGAACUUGGUGUCACGAUCGGAGACGAUGGUUCUCGGGAUACCAUGGAGGCGCACCACUUCCUUGAAGAACAAAUCCGCGGUUUGAGUAGCGUCAUUGGUCUUGUCACAUGGGAUGAAGUGUGCCAUCUUGGAGAACCGGUCCACGACGACAAAGAUUGAAUCCUUGUGUCUAAUCUUAGGCAAUCCUAAGACAAAGUCCAUAGAAAUAUCUACCCAAGGGGAGUUAGGAAUAGGUAAUGGUAAAUAUAGACCAUGAGGAUGUAACCUGGAUUUUGCCUUGUGGCAAACAAUGCAUCGAGAACAAAAUCUCUCCACGUCCUUCUUGAGAUGGGGCCAAAAGAAAUGAUCCAUGACCAUUGCCAAGGUUUUGUCAACACCAAAGUGACCCAUCAACCCUCCACCAUGUGCUUCGGUGAGUAUCAACUCUCGCAUUGAACCUUGAGGGAUGCACAACCGCUUGUCUUUGAACAAGAACCCAUCUUGCAAGUAGAAUGCUUGAUAAGCUUCUUUGCCAUGCUCUUUGUAGCACUCUCCUAAUUCUGGAUCAUCCUAGUACAACUCCUUGAUGUGCUCAAAACCCAUUACUUUAGCCUCCAUUCUAGCUAUAAGGGCAUGUCUCCUCGACAAAGCAUCAGUUACCACGUUCUCCUUUCCCUUCUUGUACUUGAUCACAUAUGGGAACGUCUCGAUGAACUCCAACCACUUUGCAUGUCUCCUCUUGAGUGAAGUCUGACCCUUGAGAUGCUUCAGAGUUUCAUGAUCGGUGUGAAUGAUGAAUUCCUUGGACAACAAGUAGUGUUGCCAUGUCUCAAGUGCUCGUACUAAGGCAUAAAGCUAUUUGUCGUAGGUCGGGUAGUUCAAUGCUGCUCCACUUAACUUUUCACUGAAAAACGCGACUGGUCUUUUCCUCUGAUGUAGUACAGCUCCAAUUCCCAAACCUGAUGCAUCACACUCCACUUCAAAAUCUGGAAGUGCUAAAACUGGUGCUUGUGUAAGCUUCUCUUUCAGCGUGUUGAAUGACUGUUCUUGGGCUUCUCCCCAUGAGAAUGGUACAUUUUUCUUCAUUACAGCAGUCAUUGGUGCAGCCACUGUGCUGAAGUCUCUGACAAACCUCCUGUAGAAGCUUGCUAGUCCAUGAAAACUGCGAACAUGUCCAAUGGAUGUUGCAGUAGGCCAUUCACGGAUCGCCUUGAUCUUUUCUUCAUCUACCUGUAGGCCAUUUUUACUCACUACAAAACCUAAGAACACACACUUGUCAGUACAAAAUGAGCACUUCUUUAGGUUAGCAUAAAGGCCUUCCUUCCGAAGCGUUUUCAGAAUUAACUCUAAGUGCUUAGUGUGAUCAGAAUAGCAUUUACUAUAAAUAAGUAUGUCAUCAAAGUAGACAACAACAAAUUUACCAAUAAAUGACCUUAGAACCUGGUUCAUCAAUCGCAUGAAGGUGCUUGGUGCAUUGGUUAGUUCGAAGGGCAUAACGAGCCAUUCACAGAGACAUUGCUUGGUCUUGAAUGCGGUCUUCCACUCGUCGCCUUCUCUCAUUCGGACUUGGUGAUAACCGCUUCGCAAGUCAAUUUUGGAGAAGAUGAUUGCACCACUUAGCUCGUCUAGCCUCGGAAUAGGAUGUCGGUAUUUGAUGGUGAUGUUGUUGAUUGCUCGGCAGUCUACACACAUCCUCCAUGUGCCAUCCUUCUUUGGUACCAAGAGAACUGGUACAGCACACGGGCUAAGGCUCUCCCUGAUGUACCCUUUGUCCAUCAAGUCGCGCACUUGCUUUUCUAACUCCUUAGACUCCUCCGGAUUCAUUCGGUAAGCUGGUUUGUUAGGUAGAGCAGAACCUGGUACAAGAUCGAUUUGAUGUUCGAUGCCACGAAUAGGGGGUAGUCCUGGUGGAAUCUCCUCCGGAAAAACAUCGUUGUAUUGAUCUAGUACAGCUCGUACUUCAGCAGGUAGUUCAACUUCACCUAAACCUGUACUUAGACAUUCUUUCAAAACCAUUAGUAGCACGGUGCCAUGAGCACUCAUGGUUUUACAAAUUUGACUAGAAACUUAAGUAAAGGCUAGAAGUUCUUACCUCGACCUCUUUGUUCAUGUGUUUUUGCAACUCAUGAACUUCUGAUGGACUUAGAGGGGCAAGGUUAAACUUACGGUCAUUGUGGGUGAAAGAGUAGUGGUUUGUGCGACCAUCAUGAUUAGUAGCUCGAUCGAACUGCCAUGGUCUUCCAAGGAGAAGAUGUCCGGCUCUCAUUGGAACUACAUCACAAAUAACUUGGUCCUGGUACUUUCCAACGCUGAAUGAUACAGUCACUUGUUCAGCGAUCUUUAGCUCAGNNNNNNNNNNNNNNNNNNNNNNNNNNNNNNNNNNNNNNNNNNNNNNNNNNNNNNNNNNNNNNNNNNNNNNNNNNNNNNNNNNNNNNNNNNNNNNNNNNNNAUCGUUCAGCCACCUAAGUUUGUAUGGUCUCGGAUGCUUUCUCUUUUGAAGACCUAACCUGUGUACCAUAUACUUGCUAGCAACAUUAGUGCAAGAACCUCCAUCAAUAACCAAAUUACAUACCUUGUUAUUUUUUGUGCACCGAGUGUGAAAGAUAUUUUCUCUUUGAACUUUCUCCUCAGGGUUGAUAUAAACGCUCAGCAUACGUCGGAUCACAAGAAGUUCUCCUACAUCAGGAUACUCCACAUCUUCCUCUGGAUCAUUCAGGUUCUCAUCUUGCUCAUCUUGAGACUCGUAGUCUCCACUAGGAGUGAGAAUCAUCACUCGUUGGUUCGAACACUCUCUCGCCAUGUGUCCUCUACCUUGACAUUUAAAACAAGUAAUGUGACGGGUACGAGAUUUACUAGUGCUAGGAAACUUACCUGGUUCAGGCUUGGUGAUCUUAGGCGCUUCACUAGACUUAUUCUUGAAUCGAGAAUCGUUGUCUAUAGCUUUGUCUUUGUCCAUGCCUCGGUUGUUACUUGCGUUCCAAGGUGUACUACUUCUGGCACGAUUGCUCAAAGACAUCUUACGCUUGAUUUGUUGCUCUACUUGUACAGCCUUGUGAAGUAGUUCAUGUAUGCUGCUAUAGUUGGACGUCUCCACCUUUCGGGCUAUACGCUCUUGCAACCCGUCAAUGAAUUGAGGCAUCAAUGACUCGCUGGAUUCUUCUAACUCCAAGGAGUUCAUGAGCUUCUCAAACUCCUCAAAGUACUCGUCCACGGUCCUUGUUCCCUGAGACAAUUUUCUAAAACGUUUUUGUAAGUCUCUAUGAUAGUGAUCAGGAACAUACCUCAACCUCAAGAGGUACUUCAUGUCUUCCCAAUUGUUGAUGGGAGCAAAUCUUUGCCUCCUCCUCUCGGCCACUGUCCUAUCCCACCAAGAUAAGGCGUUGUCGGUGAGUUGUGUCGAUGCUAAGGCUACCUUUCGGAGUUCUCCAUGUCCAUAACAUUGGAAUAUGUAUUCCAUCCUUUUCUCCCAAUCCAUGUAAACCUCUGGAUUUGAUUUUCCUGCAAAAGUAGGAGGUGUUAGUUUAACAUCUCGGUUCUGGUCACGUGUGUCAACCUCUCGAGCGCGGUUCCUCAUCAAGGGAUCCUCUCUCCGCUGAUGUUGACGCCUUAAUGGAUCAGGUGGUGGAUCAUCGUCGUCAUCCGGGUCAAGGGAGUCUUCUUCCUCUUCACGGGCGUUCCUUCGAACCUGAACUGGUUCAGCUUCAGCUCUGGGCUGAGGCUGCUUCAAACGGCCUAUCCUUUCGCCAAACCCUUCUAGUUGUUUCGAUAGGGUUUGCAUCAUGGCAUCUUGGGGUAUGGCUGCGUGUUCUCCCAUUAUGAUUGUCUAAAAGUAUCCUGCUCUUAAACAAAAACAACAAAGAAAAUCAGCGUACCACAGAAAUCGAAAAUGAAAACUUAAGAAACAAGAAACUGAUGCACGUGCUGAAUUAGACAAGAAAAUGAAAUUUUUUUUUUUUUUUUAAAAUAAGUUUUAAGAUACUUAAAAAAUACUAGCUAACAAAGAUAAUGACACAAAAAUUUUAAAAAAAGAAAUAAUUUUUUUUUUUUUUUUUUGACGAAAACCUUGAACUAGUACAGAAACUAAAUCAAAGACUGAAACAGGCGAUUAAGGAAAGAAUAGUGACGAUUUUUUAUUAUUAUUAUUAUUUUUUUUGUUAAGGAAAAUAAAACUAAACAACCUAUAGAAACAAGGCUGCAGCAAACUAGGGUUCUUAAUUUUUUUUUUUUGAAAAUUAAAUAAAACAAAACUAGAAUUCAAAACUAUCAAAAGAAGAUGGAAAAGGUAAACCUGGCAAGGGAAGAGCGUGAGGCUCUGCUACCAGAUGAUAUAAGACUCGAUGGUGAGCUUGUAUUAGGAUAGAUAUGAUGGCUUCACAAGAUGGCAAUCGCUUCUCUCUUGUGAAGGAAAGAUGGUCGUUGAUGUAGAUCUGACACGAUGGCGGUCGCUUCUCUCGUGUGGGAUCGAAUGAAGGGGAAGUGCUGGCGGAUUGAAAUACACCACUGAGAUGUGAUUGGUCUCUGAUACAGUACACGAAUUCAGCCUUGUGGAAUCACACACACAAGACAAAGAACAAGCUUUUCUCUUAAGAACACUUAAGGAGAAAAAUUGAAGAAAAUUCGGUUUCUUUAUUGAUAAUAGGGUGAAAAAUCGUACAACUGCUGCAGGGGGACUUUAUAAGAGUCCAUCAGCUAUCCCUAGGGCCAAAAAUAAAUGCAAAGAAAUACAAAAGGAAACAAAUAAAAAGCAAACACAAAACUCAUUGUUUUUGGAAAGAAAAUGACAAAAUAAAGAAACUAAUUGUGCACACUUAAACUCACUUGAAGGGCACGUAUUCUAGCCGUUGUUGGGGCUUAGUGGACCUGCAAAUAUCGAAAAUACUGAAUAGAACUUACCUGGAUGCGAUCUAGGCCCAAUUGAUGUUCUCUGAACUACGUCUUGAUCUACUUCAGGGGUCUUGUCAGGUGCAUGUUUGUUUGUUGGUUUCUUGAAGUAGAUGGUUUCUUGGAGUUUCUCUUGGGUAGCUUGAUCAGUCUCUUGAAGCUCUUCCAAGUCCUUGAUGUCUUGUUCUUGAUCUUCACUCUCUCGAUCACUCUCGAAGGUGAAGCUUGUUUUGCUCGUCUCUUGUGACUCCAUUGUCUUCUCUUGGAUUCUAGAGGUUUCUUGACCUGUCAAAG